GUGAAGUACCUCCGGGCAGACAAGGAGGAAUCAGGCGGGAGCGCCUAGCUGCAUUGACGUCACCGCUGACGUCAAGCCCUCCGUCCAGCGACCAGUCCGGCGGGCAAAGCGGCGGUCGGAAGGGCACCAUUGACGUCAAAGCCCCCGUAGCGACGACGCCCUCUCAGAAUGGCCCCAGAAGCGAGGGGGGAACCCGAUGCCAUCGGCAGUUCUGCGGCCGAGGAGCUACCAAGAGCAGCGCUCCAAGUGCGGCAAGGAAAGCUGGUGUUCCACGUGCUGUACCUCAGUUCGCGCGCCAGGCCGUAUGACUCCUUGAUGUGAUUGCGGCCACGAGACGCGGCACAUUCGAGCGGGGAAGGUUUUCGGCGGAACUCCGAGGCGAAACCAGGGGAAGAAUCGUUCCUGGGAGGGAAACGGAGUCUCCGGGUGCCUUGAAGUUGGUAUCACUGCUGCCCUGCUUCCCGCGUCUUUUCCUCGGACACCACGCCGGCUGGAGUGCAAGGCUUGUUGUUUAACCCACGGAACAAACAAGAGAGGUGAAGUAACUGCGCGUCUGUUCCAAGGGACCCUCCCGGUGCUUCCAGCGCGGUGUCUCCUGGCACAUCGGCGGAAGAGCGGACAGGGGCGCGCUGCGGGAACGGCAGUGGGGCCUUACUGUGCAGUGAACCACGCCGCGUCGACCAGGAUGGCUCGUCUCCCCGCACCGGCCAGAGGUCGGGGUCCUCGAGCUGACGGCGGCGGCUGCGGCGACGACGACCGUCCACGGGGUCGCAGCGUCUCUCCCAGAGGCGCCACGUCUCCCCUGGGAAGCGGCCAGCCCCCAGGAUGCACCUCACCCCCCAGGUGUUGCCUCGAUGACGACGACGACGACCGACCAGGCGUGACUCCCUCCGGCCCCAGGACAGCGAGGCGGCGGUCCGUGGCGACUGCGCCGUGGCCUCGUCACGUCGUGCCGGAUGCUGGGGGUCCCGUCGCGUCUCUCAACUUCAGGUGCACUCACACUUGCCUUUAAAGGCCCCCCCGGUCUGCCCGGGCACACACACACGACGCGCAGAGCUCCAGGGAAAAAAAAAACAACGCGAUUUCCAAACUACUCAAGAUAUCCGGGUGGGGGUCUGCUUACGAAAAAAAAAAAAAACAUUUAAGAGUUCGCUGAGGGCCAAAAAAAGUACUUUUGAUUUCGGAUUAAGUUUUUAAACUGUAAUUUUUAGAUCAGUUAAGAUGUCUAAAACGCAUGUUUUCAGAGUAAUUUUUAGGCGUAAAAACAACCAGUACAGAUUCUUGUAAACACUUAAGGGACUUGAAUCACACCUUUAUCUUCAUUUAUCGGCCAAAUAAUGUUACGGUCAACCGCUCAAAUUUCACAGUUGUCCUGUGAUGACGAGAAGACUGCGAGUCAGUCCACAGUCUUGCGCUUAGAGGCGAUACCGCGCUAAAAGCACCAGCGACCGUCGCACUCAUCAUCCCGCCUCACUGACACACAUACACCCCUGACGAGGUGUCCCAGCUUUCAUUCGCUAUGAUUUCACUUUGACCUGUACUUGCACAAGUUAAACCAUAUCCCUACCCUCAAACUUCUGUUCUUAACGUCAGUGCAAUAGUGAUAUCUGAUUGAUUUUUUUUUUAAAAAAAAUAAUUAAAAUUCUAAUAUUCACAUGUUUAAGGUUGAUAACUUUGAACUAUUUACAUAUGCACUCGUAAUUCUAAACAAUGAUAUUUUGCAUCAAGUAUUUACAAUAACACAUCUGUUAAUAGACAAUAAAUAUAGUAUAAAAUAGUGUCAUGAAUGUCAUACUGAUUUACUAUUAGCUGUCAUUAAUUGACAGAUCAAGUUACAUAGACAACUUCUUGAUGAAUUACUCAAAUGCUCUGCCAUGGCUGUACUGAUCAUUAAUGUAGUUCAGUAUAUAGUAAGGAACACAAAGAAAUGUUUUUGAAAACAGUAAAUAUCAUCAGCACAUAUUUGCAAUAAACUUAAUAGCAAGUACAUAUUGAUAACAAAUUCACAAAUUCAUUAUUAAAAAAUAAUUUCAAAAGAAAGCUUUGUCUUUGCUUUUUAACUUCCUUGUCAGGCAUGCAGCCAGUGUAGCUUCUUUUACUUGCAGUCAUUUAGGUAUAUUUCGAAGAAAUACCAACCUUCUCUAGCCGUUACCAUAUAUAUAUAUAUAUAUAUAUAUAUAUAUAUAU